AUUGAACGCUGGCGGCAUGCCUUACACAUGCAAGUCGAGCGGCAGCGCGGGGGCAACCCUGCGGCGAGCGGCGGACGGGUGAGUAAUACAUCGGAACGUGUCCUUUCGUGGGGGAUAACCAGUCGAAAGACUGGCUAAUACCGCAUGAGAUCUCACGAUGAAAGCGAGGGACCCGAGGGUAACUUCGGGCCUCGCGCGAUUGGAGCGGCCGAUGUCGGAUUAGCAGUUGGCGGGGUAAAAGACCCACCAAGGCGACGAUCCGUAGCUGGUUUGAGAGAACGACCAGCCACACUGGGACUGAGACACGGCCCAGACUCCUACGGGAGGCAGCAGUGGGGAAUUUUGGACAAUGGGGGCAACCCUGAUCCAGCCAUGCCGCGUGUGUGAAGAAGGCCU
rnacentral:rRNA from 1 species